ensembl:lncRNA
CGGUGGGGCAAUAGAGAGAACAGGCACAGAGAGAUCCUGAGAGUGACACACAGGGAACUGUAGAGGACGGUGGGGCAGUAGAGACAACAGGCACAGAGAGAUCCUGAGAGUGACACACAGGGAACUGUAGAGGACAGUGGGGCAGUAGAGACAACAGGCACAGAGAUCCUGAGAGUGACACACAGGGAACUGUAGAGGACGGUGGGGCAGUAGAGAGAACAGACACAGAGAUCCUGAGAGUCACACAGGGAACUGUAGAGGACGGUGGGGCAGUAGAGACAACAGGCACAGAGAGAUCCUGAGAGUCACACAGGGAACUGUAGAGGACAGUGGGGCAGUGGAGAGAACAGGCACAGAGAGAUCCUGAGAGUGACACACAGGGAACUGUAGAGGACGGUGGGGCAAUAGAGAGAACAGGCACAGAGAGAUCCUGAGAGUGACACACAGGGAACUGUAGAGGACGGUGGGGCAGUAGAGACAACAGGCACAGAGAUCCUGAGAGUGACACACAGGGAACUGUAGAGGACGGUGGGGCAGUAGAGACAACAGGCACAGAGAGAUCCUGAGAGUGACACACAGGGAACUGUAGAGGACGGUGGGGCAGUAGAGACAACAGGCACAGAGAUCCUGAGAGUGACACACAGGGAACUGUAGAGGACGGUGGGGCAGUAGAGAGAACAGGCACAGAGAUCCUGAGAGUCACACACAGGGAACUGUAGAGGACGGUGGGGCAGUAGAGACAACAGGCACAGAGAUCCUGAGAGUGACACACAGGGAACUGUAGAGGACGGUGGGGCAGUAGAGAGAACAGGCACAGAGAUCCUGAGAGUGACACACAGGGAACUGUAGAGGAUGGUGGGGCAGUAGAGAGAACAGGCACAGAGAGAUCCUGGGAGAGACACACAGGGAACUGUAGAGGACGGUGGGGCAGUAGAGAGAACAGGCACAGAGAGAUCCUGAGAGUCACACACAGGGAACUGUAGAGGAUGGAGGGGCAGUAGAGAGAACAGGCACAGAGAUCCUGAGAGUCACACACAGGGAACUGUAGAGGACGGUGGGGCAGUAGAGAGAACAGGCACAGAGAUCCUGAGAGUCACACACAGGGAACUGUAGAGGAUGGAGGGGCAGUAGAGAGAACAGGCACAGAGAUCCUGAGAGUCACACACAGGGAACUGUAGAGGACGGUGGGGCAGUAGAGAGAACAGGCACAGAGAUCCUGAGAGUGACACACAGGGAACUGUAGAGGAUGGAGGGGCAGUAGAGACAACAGGCACAGAGAUCCUGAGAGUCACACACAGGGAACUGUAGAGGACGG